rnacentral:lncRNA from 1 species
GCUUCCUCACACAUUCCUAGCUGCUGCAGAUCGUCUGUUUUCACUCAUUGAAGCAAAAUACUCGCGGAUUCCGGUACUGCUCCUCGAAAAGGUUCGGAUUCGACUAUCACCAUUCUCAAAAUCGUUGUGUGGUUCUUGUAGAGUACACCUUGUAGAUCAUGCAGCACUUUAUAGAAUCGAAAACCGUUAAGUUUAGAGAGAGCAAUCUUGAAUUUACACUUUGAUGCGAAAUCUUCUUUCGCUCGAUCUGUGCGGUAUGAUAGGAAUUAGGAGUUUUCUCUGGCAUAUUGUUGUUGUACGUAGAAUAACCUUUCCAACGGUAUAAAAUUUAUUGAGUUUGGUGAAGAAAAGUUCGAGACCGUUAUUGCCGUUGAGGAGCUUGAACUGUGCGAAGAAGAUGAGCGUUUCUGGAAAUUUUUCACGCUUUGAUCUUCUUUCCCUGGCCGCGAGCUCAAAUUGUUGUUUCCCGCCGAGGUGGACCAAUCGCGCACCGCCAGCACAUAAAUGAGGUG